CUGAUGUGACCUGGGCGGGGUGUCCCAGAGCCCUGGCAUUCCCCGCUCGCCGUCCUGGGCCACCCGGAGCAUCACUUAGAUUCCAACGGUGGUCCCGGCCUGAAGGAGGAUCCCUGGGGGCCCAGAAAGAUCAGCAGGUGCUGCAGCUGGACUUAGAAGACCUAGCGGGGUUCCUCACGGCCUUGGCUGUGCGUGCCCUGAGCCUCAGUCUUCCUCUCCCGGAAGAUGGGAACAGCAGAGCUUUGGACCUGCCAGACAGGACUCGGAAGGAAGCCUGGGGUAUUUUUGUUGAUCCCCAGAGAUCAAGGAACAUUUCACUGUUUUUCGCUCCAUAAAAAUUUUGGUGCAAGGCGGUCGGGAAAAGAGGAGACGAAGGGAGCCGAGCACCGAAACCAGUAGGCACGUAGUGACACCUGGUUCAUGAAGGAGAAGGGAAGGCUUGUCAUCAUCUUGGGCACCAGGCAGGUAGGAGUCCUCCCAGGGAUCCCCCAAGCCUUCUCUCUAUCUGAGGGCAGAGAUCGCUGUGGGGCAAGUCAGGGUACAAGACUCAUCCUUACCCGUAGGGCCAGGAGGCUCCCCCUCUCCUGCCAGACGGUCCCAGAAUAUGGGUAUCUGCCCGACUUGCUCCCCCAGGGCCCUCCCUACUGCAGUGACCUGGCCUGGUGGGUUCCUCUCCCAGG